rnacentral:rRNA from 1 species
GAAUAUUGGACAAUGGGGGCAACCCUGAUCCAGCCAUGCCGCGUGUGUGAAGAAGGCCCUCGGGUUGUAAAGCACUUUCAGCGAGGAAGAACGCCUAUCGGUUAAUACCCGGUAGGAAAGACAUAACUCGCAGAAGAAGCCACGGCUAACUCCGUGCCAGCAGCCGCGGUAAUACGGAGGGGGCAAGCGUUAAGCGGAAUUACUGGGCGUAAAGCGCGCGUAGGUGGCUUGAUAAGCCGGGUGUGAAAGCCCCGGGCUCGACCUGGGAACGGCAUCCGGAACUGUCAGGCUAGAGUGCAGGAGAGGAAGGUAGAAUUCCCGGUGUAGCGGUGAAAUGCGUAGAGAUCGGGAGGAAUACCAGUGGCGAAGGCGGCCUUCUGGACUGACACUGACACUGAGGUGCGAAAGCGUGGGUAGCAAACAGG